AAGUCACAAUCACAAUCACAAUCACAAUUCAAAAACUUCUAUACCCUUUUCUACCCAAUUGUGUUUCUUGUAUCACCCAAAACACAAUCCAAAAGCCCUACACUUCUUUAGUGUACUAAAUGUCCCUCUUCUUAUAUACCCCAUAUACCCAUAUACUGUAUUGGUAUAUAUAACCCUAAAUUAUAAGGACAGUCAUAUACGUAUAGUAAGGUAUACCAUACGGCCCUCCUCUUGUAUUCUUCCCGCUGUGCACAGAUGAGAAAUGGGAAAACUCCUCGAUUAAAAUGCCGACGCUGCACUAUCAUCCUCAAUUAGAUCCUUUAACGGGACGGGCAAUCGGACCCGCCGGUGACCUGAACCCGAAAGUAACAGUAUCAUAAACACACCAGUGGAACCCAACAUCUCUGCCCAUCUCCUUAGCCCUUAAGCAUUCCUCGCAAACUACUGUUCUAUUCGAUCUCUCUGCUCCCAAGUUCGGCCCUCCUUCGAACCCCAAAUCCAUAUUCAUCAAGUACCAGUACCGCUCUUUCUGCAUCUGUAGUUCCUUUACCCGACUUUCGUACCCAGACCGACCCAAGUCCAGGGCAGAAAACCCAGUAC
rnacentral:misc_RNA from 1 species